AGAGUUUGAUCCUGGCUCAGGAUGAACGCUGGCGGCGUGCUUAACACAUGCAAGUCGAACGAAGCGCUCAAGUUGAUUCCUUCGGGAUGAUUCUUAAGUGACUUAGUGGCGGACGGGUGAGUAACGCGUGGGUAACCUGCCGUAAACAGGGGGACAACAGUUGGAAACGACUGCUAAUACCGCAUAAGCGCACAGCACCGCAUGGUGCAGUGUGAAAAGCCGAGACGGUUUACGAUGGACCCGCGUUGGAUUAGGCAGUUGGCGGGGUAACGGCCCACCAAACCGACGAUCCAUAGCCGACCUGAGAGGGUGACCGGCCACAUUGGGACUGAGACACGGCCCAAACUCCUACGGGAGGCAGCAGUGGGGAAUAUUGCACAAUGGGAGAAAUCCUGAUGCAGCGACGCCGCGUGAGUGAAGAAGUAUUUCGGUAUGUAAAGCUCUAUCAGCAGGGAAGAAAAUGACGGUACCUGACUAAGAAGCCCCGGCUAACUACGUGCCAGCAGCCGCGGUAAUACGUAGGGGGCAAGCGUUAUCCGGAUUUACUGGGUGUAAAGGGAGCGUAGACGGCGGUGCAAGUCUGAUGUGAAAUGCGGGGGCUCAACUCCUGGACUGCAUUGGAAACUGUACUGCUUGAGUGCCGGAGAGGUAAGCGGAAUUCCUAGUGUAGCGGUGAAAUGCGUAGAUAUUAGGAGGAACACCAGUGGCGAAGGCGGCUUACUGGACGGUAACUGACGUUGAGGCUCGAAAGCGUGGGGAGCAAACAGGAUUAGAUACCCUGGUAGUCCACGCGGUAAACGAUGAAUACUAGGUAUUGGGCAGCAUGGCUGUUCGGUGCCGGCGCUAACGCAAUAAGUAUUCCACCUGGGGAGUACGUUCGCAAGAAUGAAACUCAAAGGAAUUGACGGGGACCCGCACAAGCGGUGGAGUAUGUGGUUUAAUUCGACGCAACGCAAAGAACCUUACCAGGCCUUGACAUC
rnacentral:rRNA from 1 species